rnacentral:rRNA from 1 species
GGGAAUAUUGGACAAUGGGCGAAAGCCUGAUCCAGCCAUGCCGCGUGAGUGAUGAAGGCCCUAGGGUUGUAAAGCUCUUUUAACGGGGAAGAUAAUGACGGUACCCGUAGAAUAAGCCCCGGCUAACUUCGUGCCAGCAGCCGCGGUAAUACGAAGGGGGCUAGCGUUGCCCGGAAUCACUGGGCGUAAAGCGCACGUGGGCGGACUCUUAAGUCGGUGGUGAAAUCCUGGAGCUCAACUCCAGAACUGCCUUCGAUACUGGGAGUCUCGAGUUCGGGAGAGGUGAGUGGAACUGCAAGUGUCGAGGGGAAAUUCGUAGAUAUUCGCAAGAACACCAGUGGCGGAGGCGGCUCACUGGCCCGAUACUGACGCUGAGGUGCGAAAGCGUGGGGAGC